CAAGUCGUACGGGCUUGAGGGGCAACUCUCAAGUCAGUGGCGGACGGGUGCGUAACACGUGAGCAACCUGUCCUUAGGUGGGGGAUAGCCGGCCCAACGGCCGGGUAAUACCGCAUACUUCGCCGGAGCUGCAUAGCUCUGGCGUGAAAGCGGCCGCAAGGUCGCGCCAAAGGAGGGGCUCGCGGCGUAUCAGCUAGUUGGCGGGGUAACGGCCCACCAAGGCUACGACGCGUAGCUGGUCUGAGAGGAUGGCCAGCCACAUUGGGACUGAGAUACGGCCCAGACUCCUACGGGAGGCAGCAGUGGGGAAUAUUGCGCAAUGGCCGCAAGGCUGACGCAGCGACGCCGCGUGUGGGAUGAAGGCCUUCGGGUUGUAAACCACUGUCGGGAGGGGCGAAUACCUGGCUUCGAACAGGAGACCAGGGGUGACGGUACCUCCAAAGGAAGCACCGGCUAACUCCGUGCCAGCAGCCGCGGUAAUACGGAGGGUGCAAGCGUUGUCCGGAAUCACUGGGCGUAAAGGGCGCGUAGGCGGCUUGAUAAGUCACUUGUGAAAUCCCGUUGCUCAACGACGGGGCCGCAGGUGAGACUGUCUGGCUGGAGCUUGGUAGGGGCGAGUGGAAUUCCCGG
rnacentral:rRNA from 1 species